rnacentral:lncRNA from 1 species
GAGGCCGAUCUUCAGGCUGUUCUUCCUUCCUUGACGGCUCUGGUUGUGGUAGGACCCUCGACCGAUCUUCCCUACCUUCAGGCUGGCGUCGGAUGAAUCUGUUGAGCCGACCUCAUCUGAUGAGCUCCUCGAUCUCAUCUCGGAGUUGAAUACACUCCUCUAUGUCAUGACCAUGGUCACGAUGAUAGAGGCAAAACUUGUUAGGGUUGUGCUUUUCGGGGUGUGUGCGCAUCCUUUCCGAUCUUGGCAGCUGCUCCCUGAUCUCA